GUGCCAGCAGCCGCGGUAAUACGGAGGGGGCGAGCGUUGUCCGAAGUUACUGGGCGUAAAGCGCGCGUAGGCGGGGGGGAAAGUCCGCUGUGAAAGCCCGAGGCUCAACCUCGGCGGGUCGGUGGAUACUUCCUCUCUUGAAGGUGCUAGGGGGAGAUGGAAUUACCGGUGUAGCGGUGAAAUGCGUAGAUAUCGGUAGGAACACCAGUGGCGAAGGCGGUCUCCUGGGGCAUUCUUGACGCUGAGGCGCGAAAGCUGGGGGAGCGAACGGGAUUAGAAACCCCAGUAGUCC
rnacentral:rRNA from 1 species